UACGUAGGAUGCAAGCGUUGUCCGGAAUUAUUGGGCGUAAAGAGCGCGCAGGCGGUAACUCAAGUCAGAUGUGAAAUAUCCGGGCUUAACCCGGAGGGGUCAUUUGAAACUGAGUAACUAGAGUACAGCAGAGGAUAGCGGAAUUCCCGGUGUAGUGGUGAAAUGCGUAGAUAUCGGGAGGAACACCAGUGGCGAAGGCGGCUCUCUGGACCUCUGCUGACGCUGAGGCGCGAAAGCGUGGGGAGCGAUCCGG
rnacentral:rRNA from 1 species